rnacentral:rRNA from 1 species
AACGAACGCUGGCGGCAUGCCUAACACAUGCAAGUCGAACGAGAUCUUCGGGUCUAGUGGCGCACGGGUGCGUAACGCGUGGGAACCUGCCCUUAGGUUCGGAAUAACUCCCCGAAAGGGGUGCUAAUACCGGAUAAUGUCUUCGGACCAAAGAUUUAUCGCCUUUGGAUGGGCCCGCGUUGGAUUAGCUAGUUGGUAGGGUAAAAGCCUACCAAGGCGACGAUCCAUAGCUGGUCUGAGAGGAUGAUCAGCCACACUGGGACUGAGACACGGCCCAGACUCCUACGGGAAGCAGCAGUGGGGAAUAUUGGACAAUGGGCGAAAGCCUGAUCCAGCAAUGCCGCGUGAGUGAUGAAGGCCUUAGGGUUGUAAAGCUCUUUUACCCGGGAUGAUAAUGACAGUACCGGGAGAAUAAGCUCCGGCUAACUCCGUG